GUGAUUUUCAGGACCAGGACUUACCUGUGCAAGGUUUUAAUUACCUCAAUACAGGUGGUUUUCAAAGGCAAAAACCUUUCCGCAAGCACUGUUCUCAUGAUGAAAUGAAUUUGGAAGAUGUAGAAUAUGCUGAUGAAGCAUCAGAGCACAGACUGGGACCUUUACGUGACCAUUCCAACAAUGACUUCUCAGAGAUAUACCAUUGAAAAUGUUCAUAGAAGUCAUGGGCAAAGACUACCACCCUUUCAAAAGUUUCAAAAACAAAUGAAGUUAAGAAGUUUUGAUUUCAACAGCAGAACCAGGCCAAGGCAAGUGUCCUACUGUAACAGCCAGCCUAGUGAUCCACAAGAACAGAUGCUAUUGGAACAGCUGGACUUUGAACAGGAAACAUCUUUACAAAGAUCAAGAUCUUCUCAUAACCACGCAACUCCUGAUAACAUAAAUCCUGAUUGGAAUUUAGAUAAGUGGAAGCAUCAGGAGAGCACUGACCCCACUGAAAUUGAAGUGCAAGACAAGAAGGAGAAAGACUGAUCUUUCCAGAAGAUAAUCAAAGAAUACAUCCUUCAAAUGGAUUUAACUGCAGGAGACAGAGCUUAUUCACGCCAUAUUCUUCACGGGGACUUCCAUUUUCACGUGUAUUCCAAGAAGAUGGUUCAGUUGACUAUUAUAGAGAUUGCGGAGCUGAAGAGAAAGGGAAUACUCUGAUUUACCAUCAAGAAAAACUGCAAUUGGUGCUGAGCAGUUUGCUUUAAAAACUGCCCACUGUUUAUCUGUAUUUGCCCCUUUUUCAUUGUUACUGGGCCAAAAAUCAUUUCACAACAAAAAAAUAACUUGUAUGUCAAAAGGCAACUUUUGUUAUUAUAAAAUUAGCCAUCAACAUCUUUUAAUUUUUUGUAAGAGUAUUUAUAAAUAUAAGGAAACUAACAAUGUGGAGUACAUAUAAUUAUUGCUUUUUCAAAACUAGAAAUCUAUUUGAUUUCUUGAAGGUCUGUUUUUAGUUAUAUAUGCUAAUGAAUUGCAUUUCUGGUUGCAAACUUUGUAAAAAAAUAAUUUAUGAUUCAUUUAUUCAUUUUACAAAUAAUUAUUGUGUGCAUAUGGUAAGAGAUUGUAGCUUCCACUGAGCAGGUUAAACAACAAAAUCAUAGUGUUUAAAAACCCAUCAUAACUAAAUUCCUGAAAGUGACUAGCUCUUUCAUCCCUGGUAGAGUGACAGGAGAAGGAAAAAGCCAUCCUAGACAGAGAUAAAAGAAACCAGCUGAACUUGAAUUUUUAAAGGUUGCAUGUAGCUUGCAUUAUGGUUCACCUACCAGCUCUUUCCUGUGGGCCUCUCCCCAAGAGCACAGCGGUAGUAUACGGAAAGCUAGAGGCAAGACAGAAGACUGGGAGAAAUCACUCUGAGGUACACAGGAUCUCACUGAGUGCAAGGGAGUAGCUCCCCAAAGGCAGAGGGCAGGGUAAACAGAAAUUUCCUUAGGUACAGGAAACUGACGAAAAAAGAAAC
rnacentral:lncRNA from 1 species